AAUUCAUUUUGGGGUUUUUUUGGUCUAAUUUUAUUUUAGAUUGAUCAAAAUAUUAGCUAUAUUUGAAUAAUUGUUGUAGAAAUAUUUAGUUAUUAAUUUUAGUGUAUGUGUAUACGUGUUUUAUUCUGUCACAUCAUAUAGUUAAUCAUGAAUAUCUGAUAUUGCUUGUUAUUUAGACAUAACAAAUAUUAUUACUUUUUAGCGAUGACUAUUGAUAAUAUUGUUUUCAACAAUGUACAAUUCGUAAACUUAAAGGUACAUUGUGCACACU
rnacentral:sRNA from 1 species